CGGCGGACGGGUGAGUAACGCGUGGGUAACCUGCCUCAUACAGGGGGAUAACAGUUAGAAACGGCUGCUAAUACCGCAUAAGACCACAGUACUGCAUGGUACAGUGGUAAAAACUCCGGUGGUAUGAGAUGGACCCGCGUCUGAUUAGGUAGUUGGUGAGGUAACGGCCCACCAAGCCGACGAUCAGUAGCCGACCUGAGAGGGUGACCGGCCACAUUGGGACUGAGACACGGCCCAG
rnacentral:rRNA from 1 species